CCUACGGGUGGCAGCAGUGAGGAAUAUUGGUCAAUGGGCGAGAGCCUGAACCAGCCAAGUCGCGUGAGGGAAGACGGUCCUACGGAUUGUAAACUUCUUUUACCGGGGAGUAACGAGCGUUACGUGUAGCGCUUCGAGAGUACCCGGAGAAUAAGGACCGGCUAACUCCGUGCCAGCAGCCGCGGUAAUACGGAGGAUGCGAGCGUUAUCCGGAUUUAUUGGGUUUAAAGGGUGCGUAGGCGGCGGGUAAAGGCAGCGGUAAAAUUUCGGGGCUCAACCCCGCCAAGCAGCGGGAACUGGCGUGCUUGAGUGCGCGGAAAGCAGGCGGAAUUCGUGGUGUAGCGGUGAAAUGCAUAGAUAUGACGAAGAACCCCGAUUGCGAAGGCAGCUUGCUGGAGCCGAACUGACGCUGAGGCUCGAAAGCGCGGGUAUCGAACAGGAUUAGAUACCCCAGUAGUC
rnacentral:rRNA from 1 species